CUGUGUGCUGGGUUUAUCUGCGCUCAGCUCUAGUGUCAACCUAUAUAAGCCUUGAGUCGAGCAGAAAUACAUUCAGGGUACGCAGACGUGUGCUAUGGCUAGCUUCGAGUUGCUCAAUUUUGCUGUGACCUACAGAGUGAAAGAUGAACGGCUCACGCUGUUGCAGGUGUAAUGUCGGUGCCACAUGUGACCUACUAUCAAAUGAUCUUAACUUACAAAAUACGGACAUAAGUACAUAAAGUCAAUCCGUCAACUCCAACGUAAAGUGUA
rnacentral:sRNA from 1 species